AUUGAACGCUGGCGGCAUGCUUUACACAUGCAAGUCGAACGGCAGCACGGGCUUCGGCCUGGUGGCGAGUGGCGAACGGGUGAGUAAUAUAUCGGAACGUGCCCAAUCGUGGGGGAUAACGUAGCGAAAGUUACGCUAAUACCGCAUACGAUCUACGGAUGAAAGCGGGGGAUCGCAAGACCUCGCGCGAUUGGAGCGGCCGAUAUCAGAUUAGGUAGUUGGUGGGGUAAAGGCCCACCAAGCCAACGAUCUGUAGCUGGUCUGAGAGGACGACCAGCCACACUGGAACUGAGACACGGUCCAGACUCCUACAGGAGGCAGCAGUGGGGAAUUUUGGACAAUGGGCGCAAGCCUGAUCCAGCAAUGCCGCGUGCAGGAUGAAGGCCUUCGGGUUGUAAACUGCUUUUGUACGGAACGAAAAGGCUCUGGUUAAUACCUGGGGCUCAUGACGGUACCGUAAGAAUAAGCACCGGCUAACUACGUG
rnacentral:rRNA from 1 species